UACGUAGGGAGCAAGCGUUGUCCGGAAUCAUUGGGCGUAAAGCGCGCGUAGGUGGCCAUUUAAGUCCGCUGUGAAAGUCAAAGGCUCAACCUUUGAAAGCCGGUGGAUACUGGAUGGCUAGAGUACGGAAGAGGCGAGUGGAAUUCCUGGUGUAGCGGUGGAAUGCGCAGAUAUCAGGAGGAACACCAAUAGCGAAGGCAGCUCGCUGGGACGUUACUGACACUGAGGCGCGAAAGCGUAGGGAGCGAACAGG
rnacentral:rRNA from 1 species